UGCAUUUCAUUCCAUAGUUAUAGGGAUUUCAGGUGGCUCUCCACUUCCCUGUAACUGCUAAGGAACUGACUCCUGUGCCUUACUUUUAAGAAGAAAAUGUACAACUGCAAAGCACUGUGGUUGUCAAUGAGGCUGAACACAGAGACCCGGUGCAACAACUGUGCCUUCUUGAUUUCCAUGGAGCAACUCAAGAGAUGUAUAUCAGUGAUCACAGUUUGCCUGAUUCCAUAGAACAAUGGUCCUUCAAGUUUGGUAUCUUGUUUCAAGACAUGCUUUCUGAGAGUACAGUCACUAAUGGAACUCUUUAAGAGAUUUCAAACUGAACAUAUAUUAAUUUAAAUAUUAGAUUUUCCUUUGAAAUCACAUUUUCUCUCAAUAAUUUUUCAAAGAAAAAAUAAUUAAAAUUUGAAAUAAUUUAAAAUAAAUUUUAAAUUAUUCACAGUGCACAGAGAAGUACUGUUGAGUAUUUUCACUCUGUUCAGUAACUGCACAUAACUUAGAACAGUAUUCAUUAAGCCACUGAUGCUUCCAAAUCAGGUGUUUUUUGGUUUUUUUUUUAAUUGUCUUUGGUUAUUUAGAUCACUUUAAAGCAAAUUAAAUGCAUGGAUUUCUCUCUGUUUAAAAAAGUUAUUGAUAUAUUUUAACACAUUGCAGUUUUCAAAACUCUAGAAUUCUGACCACCUAAGUUCCAUAAGAAAAUGAUGAGCUCUGAGCCAGCAUAAUUGGGUAAGUUCCACUGAUUAUACUGGAAGAUAAUAGCAUAAACAUGUCAAUAUUUCUAUAGUUUUGAAUAGAUACAGACCUAUAAGUAGCAUAUCUGUAUGUGGCAGAGUUCAUGCAGGAGAUAACCCUAAAAAAGGCCUUUCUUCUUAGAAAUAGUUGUACUAAAUUCAUGGGAACAGCUCAGACAAAUGUAUUCCACAGAGCAGGAAUAAAAAUUGGCCUAUACGUGCUGACUUCUGAAAGAAGUCAAAAUAAGCAGAUACUUUUGUAACACAGAGUAUUUCUGCUGUAAUAGAGAGUUGUUCUAGAAAUCCAAAGACACAGUCAACAUUGCUUGUGAUGAAUACUUAUUAGAACUGCUGAAGCCUGGAAGUAUAAUGUCCACUCUAAGCUUUAUGAACCUCUUACAAAGCCUGUCAGGCUUCUCAGGCCUGUACCGUAUUGUUCACACAUUGUGCUCUAGCAUCACCAUCUGUGAUACUUCUGAGCCAUGACACACAGGAAGGAGAGAGCAAGCAUUACAGUUCACAAAGGAAUAUGGGUUAAGGAUUGUUUACAGAAAUAAGCAUAUAUUAAAAAAACUAUGGGAAGUAAGUCGCCUUACCCUUACACUGUGGCAAAGAAAGCUUUUUAUCUAUCACAUUUCAUAAUAAAUUGUGAUAGAAAUUACAGGCAUACUUCGGCAUUGUACCAUACAUAAUUAUAUCAUUUCUGUAACAUCAUAGAUAUUACUGAUACACCUUAGGACAUACCUUAGGAUAGAACUGAAAUAUUUUCCCAAGGUAUUACACUAUUAGGGAAAUCUAGAUUUCCUGGAGGGGUAAAUUCUGACACCCAUAGUGAUGCUAAGCAGAACCAUACCUCAUGACUAGUCUCACAAACAUAAUAGACUAAUUCACUGAGGAAUUUCUUAUAAUGGUUUUGGAUCUGUAAGCAAGCCCACACUUUAAUAUAUGAAGGCUAUUUUCCAAAUCAUUCCUCAGCUGACAAUUUCCCGAUCAAACGGUGAACAGCAUUAAAAAACACCCCGCAGCAUUGCCAGGUUUGAAAUAAGUGAUAUUGUUGUCUUAAAUACAAAUGCUGAUGUGCUGUGCAAGGAAGAUAUUCCACUUCCUUGAAGAACAGAGAAGAGCAAAAAACACUGAAGUAGUUUUGAUAAAUGCUGUCAGUUUCUAACAAAAUUUGGAAAUUCGAAUGCUAUUAAAUAGAGCUACUUCACACUUUGAAUUUUCAUUUCUUUGUCAGUGGAAACUACCAUUGGGAAUAUGACAGAUACUGAUCCCAUGAGUAUGUUAAAUGGUUCAACUAUGUCCUUGAGAAUAGCCUGAGGCAAUGAAAACAAGAGACUGCAGUCUCCUGGCCUACUGCUUCUGUAGUGAACUUCUUGCAAGCUAUUAAAACAAACUAGCAAACAGCUCUAUAAUUCAUCAUACACACAAAGAAAUUUCUGUGAUUCAGUAGCAUUUCAAAUAUCAUAAAAAGCUUGAAAGUCUAUAGUCUAACCACAAAUACGUUUUUUGGGAACAUCUCCAUUUUGGGCAUGCUAGUAUGUUUGGUCUAACUUUCUUCUCAUGUUACUGCUAUCAGCAUCACUGCAGAUCGUUUCCAACUUGCUAAAUCCAGACAUGAUUUUAUGAAGUUGUCCCACUUUGUCAACAGACCCCUCCCAGUAUGAGGAUAUCAGCAGUUUGUGAGCUGGGCAUGCGACACCAUCAAGAGUCUGCACAAGUAACUGCAGUUUACAAACAGGAGUAAAGAGUGGGACUCUCAGCAUAUGUUUUGGAUUGUAUUUAGUAUUGUCAUUUACCAGGGCCAACCCAAUUCAUAAGAAUUCAUAGUAAAAGAACACAGUCCAGAUGCAAGAAAUACAGAAGAACAUCAAGACAAUAUGCUGUGAACAGCACUGUUUUGAUACUUAAAUAUCAGAGGUUUUAGGAGUUAUUCAUUGAAAAGAAUGAUCAGAGUAGAUUAGAGAAGUGAAAGGUAUUCUGCAACCCAUAACAGCAGUUGCUGCAGCCUUUCAUUAAGUCAUUUUCUAUUUUCCUUGAGUAGGAGCUAUGGAGUAUUUUGUAAAGUCGUACCUUUUAAAGUCCAGAAAAUAAUCAGUGAAGCAGGAUGCUUCUUCUCCUGGAAGAGAAAUUAAACUCACUCCAUGCUCUAAAAACUCAUCAACUCAUGGCUGAGCAACACAUUGUAGGUUUGAAUAUAAUGAGGUUGCUGUAUAAUGUCACAAUACAAAAAACUGGAACAGUGAAAAGAAAAUAAUAAUCCUUCUGCAUUCUGAUAUAACACAGCUCCCUUUCCCCCUACAAAAAAAGGUUCAGAAGAAAACUAGGAAACAGAUUCAGGCAUAGAAAUCUCUUAUAGUUCAUGUUAAUUAGCCAGUUUUCUGUCAAAAUAUAUGCAGAGAAACACUCAACUGAGAUUCUUCAGAGAUGAUCAGAAAUGAAUUGUAUAUGCUGUUGUAAGCCAGUCUUUUUCACUGUAAAUUAGCACAGCUCUAUAGAGAGCAAAAUCAUAUUUGAUUGCUCAGAAGUGACCACUAAUUAACAUUUCACUUGCAGUUUCAUUAGUUGCCUGCAACUCUUUGGCCUUAAAAACUCUACUGAAAGAGGAAUUAAACCUCACCUCGAAAUGGUUACCAUCAGAUUUGGAGGCUGAGUCUGAUUAUUUAUUCAUAAUCCUAAAUUUUGUGCAGUCCUGAUUAUCGCCAAGGCUCAGGAUGAUGUUCUCUCAGCCUUAUGCAUCUGAUACACUUGGAGACUGACCACAAGAAUAACCAUAAAAGCAGGCAAUAAAAAUAACUUGGUAGACUGCAAUAAAAAUAGAGAAGCAAGAGCAAAUAAGGGAACUUAACGGAUGACCCCACAAGCAAGAGCCAUUUUCCUUUUCAGAAAUCACUUUCAACUCUGCAAUUUAUGUUUGGCAACAUUUUCAUCAUCUGAAAAUUGGAGUUGCAUACUAGUUUAUAUCCCGUGUUUUUAGGGCUAAAGGAAAAAAAAAGAACAACUAAUAUAUACUCAUGCUGAACUGAAGAGGGAAGCUGGUUAUCCCAAUCCUUUACUUCUGCUGUGUUUUCCCAGAACCUUGACAUAGACACUGCCUUCCUACACUGUGGCUUUCUGGUACAGCUAGAGCAUAGUUCGUUGCUGAUCUAUAUACCAUUUUAUAUCAGUUAAGAAGAUACAGCUUGUUCUGUGUUCUAAUAGGCAUCAGGCUGUGGACUGUGAAAGGCAAGAGUUCUCAUAAUGAAGCAGUACUAGUGACACAAAUCUUCUAAUCAGGCAUUUAGUAAUUUUGCUUUGCAGCUUGGAAAAUGUCUUUCAUUUAAAUUCACCUCAUAGGAGCUGUGUGUCAGGCAAUUAUUCUCUACCCGAAGAUUUCAAAGUCCAAGCAAAUUAAAUGGACUCUGUUCUUAAAGUAAUACUGCCCUCAAAGCAUUAUUACUGUUGUUAAGAAAUAAGAAACCUAAAGUCAAAAAAGGCAUCUGUUCUCUUGUACAAAUACAGGUACAAUUCCUACACAGGCUUUGGCAAUCAGAUGUGCAUAUUUACAGAUCUAAUGUAGAGUUUCUUUUGAUGAAUAUAACAACCGAACACUUACAAUUCUAUAAGAAUACACUGAAAAAGAGAACUGAGUUUCGUCUUCAGAACACCGAGGCUUCAGAAUUUGAUUCAAAAUAUGAUGGCCUACAGUGAUACUGGUUCUCAACCUGCCUAUACGUUAGCUAUGUAGAACUGAGUUUUUCCAGGAGUAGACUCUUAUGGAAGAAAAUAGCCUUACAAGGCAUGCUGUCAUUGAGCAUUUGUCUUCCUUUGAGUCACUACUGGAUACAUGUUUUUCUGAAGUACAGUAAAACUCCACAUUGCUAAAUUUCAGUCUCUGAUUCCCUCCUAACUGAAGCAAAAAGUAAAUGGUUGAUUUCCAUAUAGAUGUUCAAAAAACUUGCUGCUAUUUACAAUCAGCUGCCCAAAUUUCAGGCCAUCUGGAAGUCUACAGAGGGACAUGAAAUACAAAUAAAUAGAAUUCUGGGGAAUUAUAGGCUGGCAUUCUAAAUUUGCUAAGAAGAACCACAGACAAACUAACAGCACAGCCCUGGAAAUAAGCAGAUGCAGUAUGACUCAAAGAGGUGAAGAAAAGUUUUUGACAAGAGAAGUAUACAUUCAAAGUGUUGUAAGAGAGAUGAGGCACAAAAAUCCUUUAAAACAGAACAGAGUCUAUAGAAAGAUCUUUUUAAAUCCUUGAAUUAGAAAUUGUUCUCCAAAGUACCUUCACUAGCAAUAUAGUUCCACUUAAAGAGCACGAAGAAAACAAUGUCCAAUUUGACUUGAGAGACCAUCAAAUUUCUGGGCCAGUUACUGGUAAAACAGAUCUAAGGCAAAUGAAAGCCAGCAAAAGAAAUCCACAUUCUAAUCAUGUAAAAAGUUACUAAAACACUACUUAAAAAUGACAACAUUUCCUCUCAUCCCAUAAAGAACUGCUGCCAUGAUCAGACAGGCUUUCAACACUGUAACACUGUGUUACUGUCAUCCUUUCUUGGUUAUGUUCACAAAAGCAAUAUGCUUGCAGCAGUUCCUGCCGAGAACAUCCAAGUUGUUGGUUGUCAUACACUUCAGUAAAUCUCUCCUCCAUUUAUUUAUGUUAUUUCAACGCCCAUCCUGUGUAUCUAUUCAAUAAUGGAACACACAGAUUGCAAGUUGCUGCAGUCACUGUGGCUAUGAAAACCUAGGAUCCUAGGAUUGGUUAGACUAACUAACAUUUUUGGCUCAGUAUAUUUCUUCAUUGAUUUUUUUUCUGGAGAGCAAGAUUUUACUUUUUUUUUUUUUUUAAUUUUAUAAAUUGUUUACAUUCUCAGCAAAAAUUGUACAACACUUGACAUAGUCAGUUUACCAAUAAUGUCAACUAGUCAUAACCUUUAGAUUACUUUUUUCACGUUUAACCAGUUGGCUAGUUUCAGCACCAUUUAUACUGUGUCAUUAAACUGAAAAAAGAUAAGGCAGUGGACAAACACAAAGGUAGUUAAAUACUACUUUCAUAGGACCCGAAGUAAUAUUUGCAAAAGCACCUCAGUGAUCUAAGAUCUAGAAUACAUAAUCUGUGAGGAAAGGUUGCAAGAAGGAUUAAGUCUAGAGAAAAAGGAUAUUAAAGGAUGGCAAUACAGCAACUGUCUUCAAAAACGCAAGUAAACAUUUCAUGAAGAAAAAAGGAUACAAUUAUUCUCCAUAUGUUUGCAGAAUAGGAAAAUAAAUGACGGGCUUAGGUUGCAACAAAACAAACAACUGAAACUAAGAAAAAUACCAGUCCCACAAAAAGAGCUAGUGAGUACUGCAAUGAACAAGGCCAGGUAAUGCAGCCUCUAGAACUGCAAAUUUAAGAACUGGGAAGGCACAAGAAGACCACUUCAGACUCCUUCCACACCUAUUUUCUGAUGUUGCCGUUUCCCACUACAAUCAGUGGUAAUGAAGUUACCAAGCUUCAAAUUUCCAAAGAUAUGUUGGCAUAUGCAGGACAUAACGAUAAGAAGGUCAACUGGUGCUUCGGAAGAUUAUUCUUUGUACUUAUUGGUACGUAUCUUUUGGCACUUAAAAGCAUUCAGAACUAUCUAGAUCACUUUUAAAAGCAGAUUCCUGAGUAGUAGUAGGGUAAGUAGUAAUUAAAUUUUAUUUCAAGCAACUAUUCCUAGUGUACACAAAAAAGCAUCUAAUGAUGGUGGAGGUACUGUCCUAACUGUAGGAGAGGUCAAACCACUGUCAGAGACUGGGCACUGGAUCAGCUAGACUUUGGGUAGCUUUGGGUUUUACGCUCCGAUUUAAUCUUACAGUAGUUUUGCCUAAUGGGGAUACUCACAUGUCCUCACAAUAUUCUGUGAAGUUCAUCUAUUACAAGUCAGUAAGUUAUCAAGUACUCAGUCACUGCUUCCAAUUAAAUCUCUACUUAAAAGCAACACUUUUCUCUUAUUUUUCAUUCUUCUUGCUCUUUCUUUCAUUUCUUUUACUACAAACAAAAAAUAAAGCAUUCAUUGUUAUUGAAUGAAACUCUUGUAUGCACAGUGACAUUGCAGCAGUACCUGUAAAUGAUUUAAAGAUACUUAAUAUAUUUUACUGCGUGCAAUGCCAUGGAACCUUGACAUUCAUAUAUUAGUGUAAUGCGAAUAAACAGAAAUAUAUAACUAUGAUUAAAAUUGAAACACCAAACAAUGCAUUAUACAAAUAUAAAACGAAAACAUGGUUUAGGUAGAAAACAAGGACACGGAAAAAUCCAUCAAGAGUCAAAGAUAGGUGUACUUGAAGUCAUAAAAUUACCCUGUGUCAAAACUAAUUGAGAGAAGUACCUCAUCACUAAUGCAAUUGUGCUUUAAUAAUCGAGGUGGCAUCUACAUAAGCCUGUAAGAAAAACAACUUUAAAAGACAAAUGAAAACUUUUGAAGAGAUCAGGCUUAUUGUCUUGGCUAUUUGUGUUGUGCAUGAAGCUGAAAUAAUUGGACACAUCGUUUCAAAACAUUCACUUUCUGCUUGAGUGGAUAGGAAGACCUCCUGCAGUUCUGGGUAACCCACAGUCUGUUCUGGGGACCUUCAAAAUUCACCAGGUGGUCCCCUGAGAAACAUCCCACAUCAUAUGAUCCCAUAGCUCUUUUCUGCUCCAAAUUCAUACAGUCUGUCAAGGCUGUCAACGUGAAAGCCAUUUAGAUGUCUGGUUUUGCAUUUUCUACUCCAAAAUGUUCCAGACAUGAAUCCACUAUCUCCGAACAGAGGACUGGUCUGAGAAUUCUUCAGGACUUCAUUUUGAUUUUUACUAUGGAUUUAUCAAGAAGAAAAGGACUGCAAUGAAAUAGAAUAAAUUAUUUUAUUUCUCUGCCCCUGCCUAGUCUGAAUGACAGUCCUUUUGAGGUCAGUAUUGUUUAAGCCUGUAAAAUGAAAGUUCUACGAAUCACAAUCAAAUAACCAUCAGGCACCUUAUUAAAUUUCAUUCCACUCCAUAGAAAAUCUUAGGAGUCCAUUGCUAUCUUCCAAUUUAGACAAAGAUUAAAUGAAAGCUGAUCAAAGAGUUAUAGAAUUCUAAAGUUAUACUAAACACAAUGUGCUAUGCCUGGAAAGCUUUCUCUGGUGCAAUGAAGUUAGAAGUGUCUCGCCAUAAUGGUUUUAUAUAAGCACCACUUUUCACUGGAGGGAAAAAAAAAAUUGCAGUCUACAAUCAGCUCAACUGAUUAUAAUUUCAUAUUUCACUGUCUAAAUCAAGUUUUCACUGACACAAGAAUUCAUACGUCCAGACAGAAGAAAGAAUAGUAACGAUGUCAACAAAAGAAGCAGCAGUGUUUUGCUUUUUUUUUAACAGAAAAAAAUGCCAAAAUUUCACUUUUAGUUUUCAGUCUAUCUGCUGUCAAAGAACUGCAGGUAAACUAAGAAUGCCUCCUAAGCACAGUUAUGUGUUGCCAGUUAUAACUAGCAUAUAACAUAUAUCAUAUAUAUAUAGUUAUAACACGCUAGCUAUACUACUUAACUGUUUUCACCACUAUAACAUACUCAGCUUCUAUUCAUCUAUAGUGAUAAACUACAUGCAGAUGCUGCUGUACUCUAUUACAAAUAUUAAUAGGAUAAAAGUGAAAGAAAGCAACGGAAACAGAAAGGAUCAUGAAUAUGAAUAAGUUGCUUCAUUUUUUUUUUUUCUUGUUGCAGAAAGAAAGAAACUCCUAGGGAGAGUAAUGGGCAGAAGAGACUGUCUUGUACAUCUGAAGAGAGAGCUCUUAAAAUUCUGUUCUCAAGACAGGCAGGUUCAUUACAAACUGUGCUUAUAAAGGGUUCCAGUAUUCAUCUAUAAUAGAAAUCAUACAUCUCAUAGAAUAACUUUACCCUACAGCUUAGAGGAAAUUUAAGACUCCAAAUAUAAACUCAGAAUUCCUCUGCAGCAGAACCUCCUGAGAGUCAAUGUACAACUAUAGCAAACAGUCUGAUUUCUGAAAAGGUUUUAAUAAUAUGUAACCAAGAGAACAUUUUCACUGUUUCGUAUAUGCGGUCUACUUUCUUCUGCCAGUGCUCUUUGCAACCUUGUUUGAAUACCUGCAGAAUUCUUUAUUAUUGAGGUGAUGCUCACUGCUUCUCUGCUGGUGACUAACUGUGCCCUUGAAAUCUGGAUAUGUGCUUAUUGAAAAACUAAAUACAGGACAAAGACACAAAACUCACAUCCUUCCAUACCUUCAAGACACUGGUGAAGCUUCACUGACCUCAGAUUGUGAAAGCAAAGGCAAAACUUGUGGCACAAAUGCCAAACAACAGUACUUGCAAAUCUUACAAGUUGCGGUAUUUUAAAAUUACUUUCAGAGCUACAAAAGAAUAUGAAGAAAGAUAAGUCUCCCACUGAUCUGCCAAAGAUUUUCUUUCCACCCACCCUCCCCUUAACACACGAUCUUCUUUCCAACAUAAAGUAUGUAAAUUGUAAGUAAUUCUGAAACAUGGUAAUUUCCAACUGUCAGAGCCACAGAAAUCUCUCCAUGAGCCUCUUCAGUGGGGUUUGUGUCUGAGGGAGUAGCUCCAUCUGAAUUCAGUACAACAUGGUGGCUUAAUAUUCCUCUUUUGGAACAUCUCCAAGUAACCAGUUAGAGACAAAUAGAAUUGAGGCAAAAAUUGGAAAAUACCAUCUUCCAACUCCUCAUUUUACGAGGAUGAAGUUCUUUUAUCAUUUGUUAUCUAUUUUAUCAUCUAUUAUCUAUCUUUAUCAUUUGUUAUCUAUUUUAUCAUCUAUUACCUAUCUAUUAACACAGGCAGUGUUUUAUCUCAUCAUCCUCUUUUGUCUGUGUGAAAAAAAUUAAAAAAGAACCUAUAUUUCCCCUUUGACUUUUCCUUGGCCUUGGGUAAAAUGAGGACUGUUACAACGCAACACCAGGAGACAAGGGUACAGAAAUUCCCAUUUAUAUUACAGUAAAGAAAAGCUUAUCCUUAAAACAGCACUCAGUAGCUGAAGAAAUAAUACACAGAGAAAAAGCCAGGUUCUCUUAUUCAGCUGGCUUCUUUCCUAAGAAAGAUGACCCUCCUAUAUCUAAGUUUCACCUAUCGUGUUCCUUGCAUAUUCUUUUAUAACAUACCUAACAGUAUAUGGAUAGGGUAAGUCAGUAGAGGGAGGACCAGGGAUACAAAAGUAAAGGUAGAUGAAUUCUACUUUGGCCUAAUUCAUAGGCACUAUAUAAAGCAUUUGCUCUCAGCUGUAUCACUGGUCAUGAACCCUUCUGUCGUGUUACUGUUAUUACUGCUUUUCCUUUCAAAGAAAUACCAUUUUACCACGUGAUUUCCCAGUUCCUACCUCAGCUCCAGAAAGAGCAUUCAGCAAAGCUCUUUACCUGUGUAAAGUUUAACCCUAUUAUACAAACCUCAGUCUGAGUUUCUGGAACAUUCAGAUGGCAAUGCUGGGAAUCUACUGAAGCAGGCCAAAUCAGUCUGAAAAUGGGCCUGAGUUCACAUAGGGACAGGCAGGAUUAAUCACAGUUAAUCUGCAGGGGUCAAACUCUGAUGGAGCAAUCUUUCUUUGUUUCAUCAACAAUGCCCACUAUUAGAUGUGCAUCUACCUUGAAAUUAAGACAGUGGAACCUAUGUGGAAAAGUUGGUAUUAACUCUUUAGCCAAAUUAAUAGCCUAGCACUCCAUGAAAUUGUAUAUGCUCUCAACCCAUGCUUUUUCAUGGCUGCUGAAUUUCCGAUCUCCCAUAGACAAUUUCUAUUUCUCUUCACUUUCAAAAGUAUUUCAUAUUUUUGAUGCUGAUUUUGUAUUUAGAAAUAAAAAUUGCCAGAAAAAAAUCUGAAAUGGAAAUUAAAAUGCAUAAACAACAUAUUCAUGUCCAUGAGAAAAACAAACCUAGUCUUGAAACUUGUACGUGACAGUGUACUUGACAAAAAAACAUAAUUA
rnacentral:lncRNA from 1 species